rnacentral:lncRNA from 1 species
GCAUGUUAGGAAUAAAGAAGAGAUUAAGAUAUUAAAGAACCAGGACUAGAACUAAGAAUAAAGAAGACGUUAAGAAAUGAAAAGAACCAGGGCUAGUACUCAAUUUUCUUCUCUAAUUCCAGUGGCCUUUUGCUUGAGCUAAAGAAAUAAUGUAAUUUAGUAGUUAAGAACAUGAACUCUGAUGCCAGACUACCUGGGUUUGUAUCCUGUUUCAUUUACUAUCUGUGUAGUUUUGGAGAAGUUACUUCUCUGUGUCUCAGUAAAAUAGUUGUAAUAAUACUAGCCUCCUUAUAAAGUUGAGAACUAGAUAACUAAUAUGUAUAAAAGUCUCAGCCAGGCGCGGUGGCUCAUGCCUGUAAUCCCAGCACUUUGGGAGGCUGAGGUGGGUGGAUCACCUGAGGUCAGGAGUUUGAGACCAGCCUGGCCAACAUAGUGAAACCCCGUCUCUACUAAAAAUAGAAAAAAUUAGCUGGGCGUGGUGGCGGGCACCUGUAAUCCCAGCUAUUAGGGAAGCUGAGGCAGGGGAACUGCUUGAACCUGGGAGGCUGAGAUUGCAGUGAGCCGAGAUUGUGCCAUUGCACUCUCCAGCCUGGGCAACAAGCAAAACUCCAUCCCAAAAAAAAAAAAAAAAAAAAAAAGUCUUAAAUGUUAGCUGCUGCUAAUGUUGGUGUUUUGUUGUUGUUUUUGGUGUUUAACUUUCUUUUCUUAUUUUUUUCUUUUUUGAAACAGGGUCUUGCUCUGUCAGCCAGGAUGGAGUGCAGUGACACAGUGACACCGUCACGUUCACUGCAGCCCCUGCCUCCUGGGCUCAAGUGGCCCUCCUGCCUCAGCCUCAGGAAUAGCUGGGAUUAUAGGUGUGAACUACCACACCUGGCUGAUUUUUUUAAAAUGGUGUUUCAGUGUUAUUAUAAUUAUAAACUCCAAAUUUCUUUAAGGAACACUUUUCUUAUCACUUCCUUUAUUUUUCUAAUCUCCAUUUUUUUUUUUUUUUUUUGUAGAUGAGGUAGAUGAGGACUUAGAACAUAGGUACAUUCAUUUUAUGUACUACCGAAUAUUUAUUUUGUGCUAACUACUGUGCAAAACACUCUUGAGAGUAAAAAAAAAACCUGCUGAGUUUUAAUGGAGGAGACAGAUAAAUAAUUACAAAACAAUGUGAUAAGUGUAAUAGAUACACAGAGGAAAAGUUUGUAAGCACAAAAGAAAAAGUAACUAUGUGGUGGAGAGGGGGUGUGGUAGGGGAGGGCAAGGAAUAGAGAUUGUGGAAGUCUUUGCAGAGGAUGGCAGUGACUCAGGCAAGGAGGGAAAAAGGACAGAAGGGCAUUUUAGAGAUAGGAACCAGACAAAUCCAAGAGCAUGAUAUAGUUUAGUAUAGAGUAGGGGGAUUGUGCGUAUUUCUGGAUGUGGAUGGGAUGUUUGCAACAGGUAGCUUGAAGGGUUUUGGACCUUAUACUGUAGACAGUAAGGAGCCACAGAAAAUUUUUUUUUUUGUUUUGAGACGGAGUCUCGCUCUGUCGCCCAGGCUGGAGUGCAGUGGCGCAAUCUCGGCUCACUACAAGCUCCGCCUCCCGGGUUCACGCCAUUCUCCUGCCUCAGCCUCCCGAGUAGCUGGGACUACAGGCGCCCACCACCGUGCCUGGCUAAUUUUUUUGUAUUUUUAGUAGAGACAGGGUUUCACUGUGUUAGCCAGGAUGGUCUCGAUCUCCUGACCUCGUGAUCUGCCUGCCUCAGCCUCCCAAAGUGCUGGGAUUACAGGCGUGAGCCACCGCGCCCGGCCAGAGAAUUUUAAAGUUAUCAAAUCUGUAAUAAGGAAAAACCCUCCAAAAAUAUUUCUCCCAGGUAAUCUUUAUUUUAUUUUAUUUUAUUUUAUUUUAUUUUAUUUUUGAGGUGGAGUUUUGCUCUUGUUGGCCAGGCUGAAGUGUAAUGGUGCAAUCUCAGCUCACUGCAACCUCUGCCUCCCGGGUUCAAGCAAUUCUCCUGCCUCAGCCUCCUGAGUAGCUGGGAUUACAGGUGCCCGCCACCACUCCCAGCUAAUUUUUUUUUUGUAUUUUUAGUAGAGAUGGGGUUUCACUAUGUUGGCCAGGCUGGUCUCAAACUCCUGACCUCAGGCGAUCCGCCCGCCUCGGCUUCCCAAAGUGCUGGGAUUACAGGCGUGAGCCACCGCACCCCGCCAGGGUAGAGAUUUUGUUGUCUUUCUUUGUUAUGUUUAGGUCUAACGUGGUGCUUGAUGCCUGGUGGUUUUUCAGUAGUAUAUAUUGACUACUUGUUGGCCCUGUAGAGAGGAUGACUUCAUUAGGGAGAGAUCAGCUAGAAAGUUGUUGUCGUUCUUAAAAUCGUUGCAUAUUGGAGUCAUUUGGAAUUCUUAAAAACAAACCAGAUUUUUGAGUUUCUCAAUUGAAUCAGAAUUUCUGGACCUCUGGCCCUCAGUCUAGGGAUAACGAAAGUUUGAAUUCAGGCAGCAGUUUUGGGGAUGGAGAAAGAAUAAAUUGAUUUUCAAUAAGAGGGAUAGAAUUGCUAGAACUUGUUGACUUGUGAGUAGUUUGGGUAGCUGUGAGGGUGGUGGAAUAGAUGUAAGAUUAAGGGUAGAGGAGGAAGAAAAUGUUGGGGAAGAAGAUAAAUGUGAACUAGAGGUCUGGACUUCCCAAGUGGAGAUGUUCAGUAGGCAGGAGAAAAUACAGGUCCAGCACUCAGAAGACAAGUAGAGGCCAGGUGUUGGGUAUGUGUAAAUGUUGAAGAGAAGUUGAGUCAAAUAAGGACUGAGAAGUGGCCGCUGAAUGUGACAAUUGGGUCAUACCUAUUUCAGUUUCAAGAGAGUCACAGGGGGAAAUGAAUGACUAGGAAGUAAGGGAAUAGAAACAGGGAGUACAGACUACAUGGAAAUUAUUGAAAUAUUAAAUGCAU